GUGCUCGCUUCAACAGCACAUGUACUAAAAUUGGAAGGAGACAGAGAAGAUUAGCAUGGCCUCUGCACAAGGAUAACAUGCAAAUUCGUGAAGCGUUCCAUAUUAUA
rnacentral:snRNA from 1 species